GUAAGCAUUCACCCCUAUGGAGUUUAUUACAUUUAAGACAAUGUGUAAUAGUCUCCCUAGCCCCAUUAAUACAAACUUCUUGCUUGGUCUUUUAUUGUGCCAGUUACGUUUGUCCUUGCUCAAAUCAUUGCACUUUCUUUUUCCUAAUGGCUACUUGCUUUGCUAGGCAUACAGCUCAAAGAUAAUCCUCUGAUAUGAAAUAGCAUGAGCCCUCUCCAAUAUUUUCACGAUAUGAAGUGAAAUGAUGAGACAUAAUGUUCAUUCCGAUCUCCAGGUGUAGUCCAUUUAUGAAUCUCCAGAUCUUCUUAACUUAGGUAUCCACCAAGUACAAAGCAUAUCAGGAGAGCUGCCCAAACCGUCUCUCGUAAUCAAUAAGCGAUAUGUCUCCCUAUCUGAGCUAACAAAACUCUGAUUACUUUUAAUCUUUCAGGGCAUAUGGAAAGUAUUUUGUCAUUACUUCAUCCUAAAACUAUUCCCAAGUUAGGUUACGGUGUUGCUCUUUGGUCCUAGUGUGUGAGAUAGAUUUCCAUCAGUAACCGGAUGCUCCAACCAACAUAGAUUCUACGCAUAGUACCUUCUAUGCAUCCAUACAAGCAAUGUGUUCAAAAUUUGCGCUUCAAGCCUCUUAUCCACUUUUCGACAACUAGUUGGUCGGAGUUGUCGUCGAAGGUAGGAGGUUUGUACCUAUGAACUGCUCAACCACUGAGACAACUCCAGGAACUAAUGGAGGUGCAUUUUUGCGGUGAGGGUGAAUGAUUCUACCUACUCAAUUCUUGUACAGCUCGUAAUAAAUCACGAAUAAAUUUUGUGUGGGUUGGUGAUGCCAUUUUCUAAAAUGUAACAUUAAGUCACCCAUCACAUACUAGUACUAAGCGU
rnacentral:lncRNA from 1 species